AAAUAUUUAGUUCAUAAGCAAGAGUGCCACAUAAACAAAAGUGCAUUCAGUUCGUAGAUGAAAUUCAUCACACAAUGCAUUAUUUCAUCUUUUAUUGUUUCCAAAGUUACAUGCAAGACACAAGCAUUUUGGAAGCUAUGUACACAUGGUUUCAUCCUCAUGAAACCAAUUUCUUCUCUCACCUUAUAAAUAGGGUGCCAUACUAUCACAAUUGUCUACAUGGCAUCUUAUUUAUUAUCCAUGAAACUGCC
rnacentral:lncRNA from 1 species